rnacentral:rRNA from 1 species
GACAGAGGCCCCAAGCGUUAGGCGGAAUCACUGGGCUUAAAGCGUGUGUAGGCGGAUCGUUAAGUGUCUUGUGAAAUCCCACGGCUCACCCGUGGAACUGCUGGGCAUACUGGCGAUCUUGGGCCAACUAGGGGCAGCCGGAACAAGCGGUGGAGCGGUGAAAUGCGUAGAUAUCUGGAGGAACACCGGUGGCGAAGGCGGCAUCCUGGACCAACACUGACACUGAGGAGCGAAAGCCAGGGGAGCAAACGGG